UGUUCCGUGUUUGCUGAACAAUUUUUUCCCCAUCUUUCUUACUGAAACCAAACUUCAGGACUUCCUGUAAAGCUAGAGCAUAAAGAAGAAUAGCAUCAUGGAAUCCUUCCACAAACAUGUUCACCUGAAAAAAAUAAAAAGAAGAAAAUAAAAGCAAUGGUGCGAGCUGAGCUCCGAAUGCUAUGAUCAUAAUUUGCACAUCGGGUCUACAAAAACGUUGCUGCCCCUGACCUGUACUGCACAGCAGAGCCGUCCCUCGGUGUGUGCCAUCAGCAGUGCCAGUUGCAGCAGAGAAACUGCUGGGUUUGCUAAACAUCUUUGGAGGCUGCAAUACAAAUAUGUGCAAACAGCCGUGCUGGGAUACCUUCGGUACUACUUCCACAUCCGACUCAAGGCACCACAUAAUUAAAGAGCAGAUAUUGGAUAUUUGACAAAAGGUGUUCAGCUGGCUGAUUAACCUUCCCUUCGCUGGCAUGCCUACGAGGAUCCCACUGGCGAGGGGAAAGGAGAGGUACAGCAGCUACCUUGGAAGAUAUUUAUGUGUACCUGCCAGCAGGCAGUAAUGUUCCAGCCACGCACCUGGAAUGUGUCUUCUCACCUUCCAGCAGCAGCAUGGUAGUUAACGCCUCAAAAUUUGAGGAUUUACCACCCCUCCAAAAGGCUAAAACCUCACUCUUUUAGCUUCUUCCUUCCUUACUGACUGACUGAUCCCUGAGAUCCUGCUUGAUUUUGCUUUCUACAGCGUUUUGUAGUCUGCAGUCUGGUGGGCUAACUGGAUGCAUUGCAUAAACAUGGGUCCCAUCAAAUGUAAAUGUCCUCCUGCCUACUGAAUGUCGCCUUGUUCCCAGCCACCGAACGAAGGGUGCCCAGAGCUCCUCACCUACCCUCCUCCCAUUGUCCUGCGCCCCUUUCUCAUGCCCCUCUUAUUCAUUUGCUCCGGGACACAGACAGUCCUUGUCUUUUCAAUCUGCCUUGAUGUAUUAGUUCUUCUUGGAAUGGACUAAAGCUUUUGAUUUUUGUCUCAGGCUUCUCUUCCUAAUGAAAAAAAUAUCUACUAUAGAGAGAAGGAAAGUUGGGAGUAUCCUCCUGUGGGUUCUUAGGGCUCCUUGCGUGCACAAGAACACCGCUGCCUUUAUUCACACAACCCAUCCUCACAAGCUGACUACAUUAACCCCUCCGCAUUACAGGAAUUGCUAAAUAUCCACUGAAAAAAAAAAAAAAGAAAAAAAAAAAAUUCUGAGCUGGCACAGCAGUACACUGAUCUUCUCUCACAGCCCAGGCAGAGCAGGCCUGAGCCCUGCUGCCCGCCUUUGGUCUGCCAAUGCUCACACAUCUGGGGGACUUCACUCACCCUCCUGUCCCUCUAGAGAGCUGGUCCUUCUCAGAGCUAUGUUCAGGUUGCUUAACCUCCCAGCACUUGGUCUUAAGCAAUGGAUGUGCCAAUGUAGCAAGAGAUCACAGACUUGAGGCGCUAACUGAUUGCCACCUAUAGUCUUCUUCCAGGAAAACCUGUCACCUGAAUGUCAUAAAGUUAGACUUUGCCCUGCUGUCAUUCGGGGUUGCUUUCACUGUAUCAAUAGCUCAAAUGAGAACAGGAAAUCUUCCCUGAACCACCUCACUGUGGGAUCUGCCCCUGUGGAGGCAACACCUCAUUUGCCCUGGAGCUCUCAAACAAGGAAUACACAUUUCUGGUCUUGAAAAAUUGUCCUUCCUUUAUGUCCCUAAAGAAAAUAAAAUGUGGCUCCUUCUCCUCAACCCUUGCCACCCUCCUAAUCAAACUCUCUGAAACCGCCCAGAGAGAUGGUGGAGUCUCCAUCUCCGGAGACAUUCAAAACCCGCCUGGACACGUUCCUGUGCAACCUGCUCUAGGUGGGCCUGCUUUGGCAGGGGGGUUGGACUAGAUGAUCUCCAGAGGUCCCUUCCAACCCCGUAUUAUUCUGUGAUUAAACUGAUUAUGUUUAACUGAUUUAAGUUUUAACCCCAAAUCGUUCUGUGAUUAACACUGAAGUCUCCACCCAGCCUAUGUUACAGCAGCUUGAGGCUACCCUCACAGGUAGACCCUCGCCAUCCAGCAAGAACACCACUCCCAUGAGAAAACAGCUUCCAGCAGCCCACUCAGUACCCUGCUUCUGGCUAUGGUAGCAUCCUGACAGGGGACAGGCUCACCCAAACCUCCUGCUUCAUGCCUUGUUGAGCUGAGGAUUUUUUCCAGUUAAAAAAGAAACUUUCAACUGAGCUUUAUUUUCAUCAGCUACUCAGGGAACAAGACUCAUAGAAGAAGGUAUUAGCUGCUAGAAAGCCAGCUAGCAAAGGACAUUUUUUAAGUGUCAUUUUGAUCAAAAUGAGAUAUAUAGUCUUUUCUUGCCUUCAUUCAAACAUCUUAGAGCCAAACCUGACAAACCAUUUAAUAACAGUAUCAGAAAUCCUACAAAUUUACAUAAAAACAGGGCCCCAAUGGGACAAAUUAGCUUUUGGAUCCUUAGCCAUACAAAUGGCACGGAGAGGCAUUAAAAACAAAAACAGGUUAUGAACUUUGCUGGAAGACAUAUUUUACACACUUUAUUAGUGGAAAAUAAGGUGUAUUUCUAGCAAGUCCUUCAAAGGGAGAGUGCCUGGCCUGUAAAUGUCUGAGUGUCUGUUUAGUAAAGUGGAAUGUGAAUAUCUGUGAAACCCAAGUAAAAACAUGGGGCUUUGGAAAAUAUACAACAUCUAUAUGAAGAUCAACUCUAAAUUUUUACAUUCCCAAAGAGUCCAGAUGUUACUAUUUUCAGAUAUACCUAUGGUUUCAUACUAUCUUCUCCAUGGUUUAAGACAGCUUCAAAAAUGUGCUUAGACAGGCUAGAAAAACUAAACAGAAAUCCACUGGAAGAGAGAAAAAUAAUUCUUUCUUUCUUGUACUGUCUUUUAUGACAUCUGUUAAUGGCAAAUAACAUACUAUUACGCUGCAGCUUUGCCUAAGACCCCGAUGUGGAAGCCACUAGUCUUUCAAAUCACUGAGAAAGCAUUAACUUCAGGGGAAAAAAAAAAAGUGUCUGCUGUAUUCACCCAAUUUAGCAGUCCAGAGUUCAACACUGCUCUUACAGAAAUUGAAGAAACUCUCAUUAAUUCCAUGGGGUGAAGGGCUGGUCGCGAAAAUCCUAAAUAUGUUUUACUAAUAGAAUUCAUCUUGUUAAUAAGCUGGCAUGUGAACCCGUUCUUUCCGGCUGCUGAAAGCAGCUUGUGGUUUGCUUUUAUUCUUUCAAACACAAUUAGCAAAGCACUCCAGCAGCUGAAUAGACCUAUUCAUUUGGACAAAUUAUUCGUUGGCAGGGUUGGGGUUUUGUUUUUUUUUUAAAAAAUCUCCCCAAAACUCUCUCCCAUCCUGGUGUAGUCAGAAGAGACACAAAAGCCUGCCUGUCAUUAAUCUUGCCUGUCCGUGCCUGAAAAAAGGCAAGUGGGAUGCACAGUGCUGAAUAGAUUACAUUUUCAGUGUCCCUCUCAGUGACAUGACUGAAUUGCUCACUUCUCCCAAACCUUAUCUUAGCUGGUGUACAAUCCUAAUUAAAAGGCUGACGUAAGGAAUACACACGGGGAAGAGAGUCUGGCACGGAUGUUAUGGAUGAGAUGAUAAAUUUUAUGAGCACAGCUACCUCCCACGUAGCUUUUGUAGUUAACUGUUGGAGCUCGAACAGUUGCUCUUACGCAGACUAUUUCUCAUUUCAGAAGACUGAAAAUGUUAAAUAAAACAGA